CGCGUAGGGAUCUGCCUGACAAUGGGGGAUAGCCCGGUGAAAACCGGAUUAAUACCGCAUACGUCCUGAGGGAGAAAGGGUGCCUCUUCUUGAAAGCAUUCGUUGUCAGAUGAACCUGCGUAAGAUUAGCUUGUUGGUGAGGUAAUGGCUCACCAAGGCGACGAUCUUUAGCUGGUCUGAGAGGAUGAUCAGCCACACUGGGACUGAGACACGGCCCAGACUCCUACGGGAGGCAGCAGUGGGGAAUAUUGCGCAAUGGACGAAAGUCUGACGCAGCAAUACCGCGUGUGUGAAGAAGGC
rnacentral:rRNA from 1 species